UGGGGAAUAUUGCACAAUGGGCGCAAGCCUGAUGCAGCCAUGCCGCGUGUAUGAAGAAGGCCUUCGGGUUGUAAAGUACUUUCAGCGGGGAGGAAGGGAGUAAAGUUAAUACCUUUGCUCAUUGACGUUACCCGCAGAAGAAGCACCGGCUAACUCCGUGCCAGCAGCCGCGGUAAUACGGAGGGUGCAAGCGUUGUCCGGAUUUAUUGGGCGUAAAGCGAGCGCAGGCGGUUUCUUAAGUCUGAUGUGAAAGCCCCCGGCUCAACCGGGGAGGGUCAUUGGAAACUGGGAGACUUGAGUGCGGAAGAGGAGAGUGGAAUUCCAUGUGUAGCGGUGAAAUGCGUAGAUAUAUGGAGGAACACCAGUGGCGAAGGCGGCUCUCUGGUCUGUAACUGACGCUGAGGCUCGAAAGCGUGGGGAGCAAACAGG
rnacentral:rRNA from 1 species